AUGAACCACAAGCGCUACACCCAUUUCCCGGUGAAGGCACAGCGGCUUUUCUUCCAGGGCGAGGAGCUUGACGACGACCGCAAUACCGAGCACUACGGUAUCAUCCAGGGGUCACGCGUCCGCCUCGACCUGCCUGCAAUCUUGACCACGUUUCCUUUGUUAUUUUUGCGUUCCAUGCUGUCGGCAAGGAGGAAGCACCAGAUAGGAAUAAUAACCUAA
rnacentral:rRNA from 1 species